rnacentral:rRNA from 1 species
UAAAAAUUUUAUGAUUUAAAAAAUUUAAUUUAAAUUUGAUUUACAUAUAAAUUUUAGUAUGAAUUUUAUAUUAUUUUAAUAAUAAUAUAUAAUUAAAGUAGUAAUUAAUAUUAAAAAUUUAAGAAAUUAAGAUUUAGUAAUAUUUAUAAUUAUGGACAAAUUUUGUGCCAGCAGUUGCGGUUAUACAAAAUAUAAUUUAAAUUUUAUUAGUUAAUAAUAAUUAAUAAUUUUAAUUAAAAUUAAAUAAAAAAAAUUAUUAGGUGAAAUUUUAAUUUAUUUUAAAUUUUAAAUUAAAUUAUGUUUUAUAAAAUUUUAAAUAAAAACUAGGAUUAGAUACCCUAUUAUUAAAAAUUAAUUAUAAUACUAAAAUAAUAGGUAAUAAUUUAUUGAAACUUAAAUAAGUUGGCGGUAUUUUAGUUCAUUUAGAGGAAUCUGUCUAAUAAUUGAUAAUCCACGAAUAAAUUUACUUAAUUUAUAAUUUUGUAUAUCGUUGUUAAAAAAAUAUUUAUAAAUAAAAAUAAUAUUUUAAAAUUUGGAAAAAAAUUAGUUCAGAUCAAGAUGCAGAUAAUAUUUAAGAAUAUGAUGGAUUACAAUAAUAAUUGGAAUAAUUAAAUGAAUAGUAUUUUGAAAGAAAUAUUUGAAGGUGGAUUUAAAUGUAAUUUUAUUUAUUUUAUUAAAAUGAUUUUAAAUUAAAAUAUGUACAUAUUGCCCGUCGCUUUCAUUUAUAAAUUGGAAUAAGUCGUAACAAAGUAGAGGUACUGGAAAGUGUUUCUAGAAAGAA